GUCCCGCCUGCCCGGUGACUAUAUGUUCAACGGCCGCGGUAUUUUAACUGCGCGAAGGUAGCGAAAUCACUUGUCUUUUAAAUGGGGACCUGUAUGAAUGGCAUGACGAGGGCUUAACUGUCUCCUUUUUCAAGUCAAUGAAAUUGAUCUCCCCGUGCAGAAGCGGGGAUACCCCCACAAGACGAGAAGACCCUAUGAAGCUUUAGACACAAGGCAGCCCCACGUUAAAAAACCUAAAUAAAGGCCUAAACUUACAAGCCCCUGCCCUUAUGUCUUCGGUUGGGGCGACCGCGGGGUAAAAAAUAACCCCCACGUGGAAUGGGGGCAUAAACACCCCCCCAAGUCAAGAGUUACAUCUCCAGGCAGCAGAAUUUCUGACCAUAAGAUCCGGCAGCGCCGAUCAGCGAACCAAGUUACUCUAGGGAUAACAGCGCAAUCCCCUUACAGAGACCGCAUCAACAAGGGGGUUUACGACCUCGAUGUUGGAUCAGGACAUCCCAGUAGUGCAGCCGCUAUUAAGGGUUCGUUUGUUCAACG
rnacentral:rRNA from 1 species